UGAGGAAUAUUCCACAAUGGGCGAAAGCCUGAUGGAGCGACGCCGCGUGCGGGAUGAAGCCCUUUGGGGUGUAAACCGCUUUUUUGGGGGAUGAUACGCACAGGAGAGAUACCUGUGCUAAGACAGUACCCCAAGAAUAAGCAUCGGCUAACUACGUGCCAGCAGCCGCGGUAAUACGUAGGAUGCAAGCGUUGUCCGGAUUUACUGGGCGUAAAGCGCGCGCAGGCGGCACUCUAAGUACGUCGUGAAAUAUCCCGGCUCAACCGGGAGGGUGCGAUGUAGACUAGGGAGCUAGAGGUCGGUAGAGGGGGGUGGAAUUGCUGGUGUAGCGGUGAAAUGCGUAGAGAUCAGCAGGAACACCCGUGGCGAAGGCGGCCCCCUGGGCCGUACCUGACGCUGAGGCGCGAAGGCUAGGGGAGCGAACGG
rnacentral:rRNA from 1 species